GAUGAAAGCUAGCUACAGGCUUAACACAUGCAAGUCGAGGGGAAACGAUAGAGAAAGCUUGCUUUUUCUAGGCGUCGACCGGCGCACGGGUGAGUAACGCGUAUCCAACCUGCCCACCACUUCGGGAUAACCUUGCGAAAGGAAGACUAAUACCCAAUCAUAUCUCAAGAAGAAAUCUGAAUGAGAUUAAAUAUUUAUCGGUGAUGGAUGGGGAUGCGUCUGAUUAGCUUGUUGGCGGGGUAACGGCCCACCAAGGCGACGAUCAGUAGGGGUUCUGAGAGGAAGUUCCCCCACAUUGGAACUGAGACACGGUCCAAACUCCUACGGGAGGCAGCAGUGAGGAAUAUUGGUCAAUGGGCGAGAGCCUGAACCAGCCAAGUAGCGUGCAGGAUGACGGCCCUAUGGGUUGUAAACUGCUUUUAUAAGGGAAUAAAGUGAGUCUCGUGAGGCUUUUUGCAUGUACCUUAUGAAUAAGGACCGGCUAAUUCCGUGCCAGCCGCCGCAGUAA
rnacentral:rRNA from 1 species